UACGUAGGUGGCAAGCGUUAUCCGGAUUUACUGGGUGUAAAGGGCGUGUAGGCGGGAAAGCAAGUCAGAUGUGAAAACCAUGGGCUCAACCUGUGGCCUGCAUUUGAAACUGUUUUUCUUGAGUACUGGAGAGGCAGACGGAAUUCCGUGUGUAGCGGUGAAAUGCGUAGAUAUACGGAGGAACACCAGUGGCGAAGGCGGCCUGCUGGACAGCAACUGACGCUGAGGCGCGAAAGCGUGGGGAGCAA
rnacentral:rRNA from 1 species